rnacentral:rRNA from 1 species
AGAGUUUGAUCCUGGCUCAGAUGAACGCUGGCGGCGUGCUUAACACAUGCAAGUCGAACGGAAAGGCCUCUAGCUUGCUAGAGGUACUCGAGUGGCGAACGGGUGAGUAACACGUGGGUGAUCUGCCCUGCACUGUGGGAUAAGCCUGGGAAACUGGGUCUAAUACCAUAUAGGACCGCACUUUGGAUGGUGUGGUGGAAAGCUUUUGCGGUGUGGGAUGAGCCUGCGGCCUAUCAGCUUGUUGGUGGGGUAAUGGCCUACCAAGGCGGCGACGGGUAUCCGGCCUGAGAGGGUGUACGGACACAUUGGGACUGAGAUACGGCCCAGACUCCUACGGGAGGCAGCAGUGGGGAAUAUUGCACAAUGGGCGCAAGCCUGAUGCAGCGACGCCGCGUGGGGGAUGAAGGCCUUCGGGUUGUAAACUCCUUUCGCUAUCGACGAAGCCACUUGUGGUGACGGUAGGUAGAUAAGAAGCACCGGCUAACUACGUGCCAGCAGCCGCGGUAAUACGUAGGGUGCAAGCGUUGUCCGGAAUUACUGGGCGUAAAGAGCUCGUAGGUGGUUUGUCGCGUCGUCUGUGAAAUCCCGGGGCUUAACUUCGGGCGUGCAGGCGAUACGGGCAUAACUUGAGUGCUGUAGGGGAGACUGGAAUUCCUGGUGUAGCGGUGAAAUGCGCAUAUAUCAAGAGGAACACCGAUGGCGAAGGCAGGUCUCUGGGCAGUUACUGACGCUGACGAGCGAAAGCAUGGGUAGCGAACAGGAUUAGAUACCCUGGUAGUCCAUGCCGUAAACGGUGGGCGCUAGGUGUAAGGGGCUUCCACGUCUUCUGUGCGUAGCUAACGCAUUAAGCGCCCCGCCUGGGGAGUACGGACGCGAGGCUAAAACUCACAUGAAUUGACGG